GCAGUCGAACGGCAGCAUGAUCUAGCUUGCUAGAUUGAUGGCGAGUGGCGAACGGGUGAGUAAUACAUCGGAACGUGCCCUGUAGUGGGGGAUAACUAGUCGAAAGAUUAGCUAAUACCGCAUACGACCUGAGGGUGAAAGUGGGGGACCGCAAGGCCUCAUGCUAUAGGAGCGGCCGAUGUCUGAUUAGCUAGUUGGUGAGGUAAAGGCUCACCAAGGCGACGAUCAGUAGCUGGUCUGAGAGGACGAUCAGCCACACUGGGACUGAGACACGGCCCAGACUCCUACGGGAGGCAGCAGUGGGGAAUUUUGGACAAUGGGGGCAACCCUGAUCCAGCAAUGCCGCGUGUGUGAAGAAGGCCUUCGGGUUGUAAAGCACUUUUGUCCGGAAAGAAAUCGCACUUACUAAUAUUAGGUGUGGAUGACGGUACCGGAAGAAUAAGGACCGGCUAACUACGUGCCAGCAGCCGCGGUAAUACGUAGGGUCCAAGCGUUAAUCGGAAUUACUGGGCGUAAAGCGUGCGCAGGCGGUUGUGCAAGACCGAUGUGAAAUCCCCGGGCUUAACCUGGGAAUUGCAUUGGUGACUGCACGGCUAGAGUGUGUCAGAGGGGGGUAGAAUUCCACGUGUAGCAGUGAAAUGCGUAGAGAUGUGGAGGAAUACCGAUGGCGAAGGCAGCCCCCUGGGAUAACACUGACGCUCAUGCACGAAAGCGUGGGGAGCAAACAGGAUUAGAUACCCUGGUAGUCCACGCCCUAAACGAUGUCAACUAGUUGUUGGGGAUUCAUUUCCUUAGUAACGUAGCUAACGCGUGAAGUUGACCGCCUGGGGAGUACGGUCGCAAGAUUAAAACUCAAAGGAAUUGACGGGGACCCGCACAAGCGGUGGAUGAUGUGGAUUAAUUCGAUGCAACGCGAAAAACCUUACCUACCCCUGACAUGCCACUAACGAAGCAGAGAUGCAUUAGGUGCUCGAAAGAGAAAGUGGACACAGGUGCUGCAUGGCUGUCGUCAGCUCGUGUCGUGAGAUGUUGGGUUAAGUCCCGCAACGAGCGCAACCCUUGUCUCUAGUUGCUACGAAAGGGCACUCUAGAGAGACUGCCGGUGACAAACCGGAGGAAGGUGGGGAUGACGUCGAGUCCUCAUGGCCCUUAUGGGUAGGGCUUCACACGUCAUACAAUGGUGCAUACAGAGGGUUGCCAAGCCGCGAGGUGGAGCUAAUCCCAGAAAAUGCAUCGUAGUCCGGAUCGUAGUCUGCAACUCGACUACGGAAGCUGGAAUCG
rnacentral:rRNA from 1 species